UGUUCAUUUACCAAUCAAAUACUUUCCUCUUCAAUUUUCACAUGUCAAUAGGAAAAUCAAGAAUUUAUCUUCUAAAUCUUCAAUCAUCCUCAAAUCUCGGUCUCUUGAUUAGAUUAGCUGUGAUUUGCAUUUCAAAAUCCCCAAUUCUCUCCCUUCAGUUGUAAAAUUAGUCGCUAAAUAAGCAAUUACCUCACACAUAAUUCUUCAAUCGAUACGUCUCUCCCUAUAUCUCUGUAAAUCACUACAAUUGAAACCCUAGACAACCCUUUCUCAAAUGGAGUAGCCGGUUUCUUCUUCAAACUCACACUACCUUUCUCUAUUUUCAAAGAAAUACAUUAAGCACCAACAAUAUUCUUGCCAAAUGGAUUCCCUUCACCGUUGUGCUCAUAUCCCUCUACUACUAGGUAACUUGUGUGUAAAUAUCUAAACACUUUAUUUGUAAAGACGAAAGAGUGAAAUCUCGUGGUUUUGAGCGACAAUGGUCAUUAAUCGGUUCAUCUACUCUCCAUUAACUAUCAUUCUGCUUCAAAUCGACGGGUGUUGUUUGCUAUUGCAUGGUAUUUUGUUUCAACCGAAACAAGGAAAGGGUAAUAUAAUAUUUUUUUAUGUAUUUAACAUCAGGUAUCGUUUUCGGCCUACAUUUAACAUUUGCUCUAUAUUUUUAUUUUGCUAGCAAGAUUAUUGCUAUUAUUUGAUAUUUUUUUGAAUAAUAUGUAUCCAUUUAAGAAUAAUAUUGAACGUCAUGAGUAUUGACUGUAAAAAACUUAGCUUAUGAACCAACUGCUAAAUUUUUUCUUUAGAUUGGUUGAAAUAUAUUGUAAUCAUCUAAUAUCACCUACCACAUUCGUAUAGGGAUAAUCAGCUGCAAGUGUGUUUAUGACAUAGAUGGUUUAGGGUCGCUAUAUUGUGGUGCUAGAAACUAGAGUGAUGCUCGAUGGUUGUGUUUUUAGCAAGAAUUAGAGACUCUACAUUAAAUUUGUGGUGCAGGCUUCAUUGCAAUGUUUAGGAUGAUGUUGGGGCCAUUAGGGCCAAGUCUCUGUUUAUCAAGUAAAUGAGAUUUUCUAUAGUCUGUUUUCUGUAGUUAUUUUAGAGACUAAUCACUAAACAUAUACAUUUUUCUAGGUUUUUUUUAGUGAUGUUUCAACUUUGUGGAUUGUGUGAUAACUUCCAUCCGGAACCAUAUGAAAUUUAAAUGCACAUUGGUAUCCAAAGUUACCCUGGGUAAUCGGUCAGGAUACCAACCUUUUAGCUAGAUGUGUAAAAACAUAUGCCCAUGCUCAUGACUAUCAUAUUAAUUCCAUUUCUGAUAACAGGUGUGCUUCAAUAAUUUAUUUAAGAUACAUUUUAAUAUUAUUUGAUUAUUUAUUAAUUAUUUCCAUUUUGUAGCGCGUGUGAAACAGUUAUUUUAGUUGAUGAUUUAUGGAUAAAGAUUUCGAUCUUGGAAGUCAAUAGUCAAAGUUUUCAUAUUGUUGACAUGAAGCCUGCAAACAUUGAGGAUUUAACCGGUAUGUUGGGGUGAAUCAACCAUGAUUGAAGUCGUGAUAUUGCCUCUUCAAUAAGUUAUUGAGAAUCCAACAAACUGAAGAUUCGUUCUUCUAUUAGACAGGUAGGUACAUUAUUAAAAUACAAUUAUUUUUGAAAAUUAAAGUAGUUGACCAUUUUACCCUUUCUUGCAUUUUUGUUCCCAUGUAUAAUUUUAUCUAUAUUCAUAACUGUCUCAUAGCUCUUAUAAACGUUCGGUGGACAUGUAACCCUCUUUUGGAAUACUCACUUAUUAAAAACAAACCUCUCUUUGUUAUCUACAUUAAGAGUAUAUAACCUAUAUGGGACAGAAACCAUGAGAUUCUUUGGUGAAGUUUUUUUUUUCAAAUGACUCUUUUACAGGUAUCUCAAAUUUGUUCCUCUGCGUAUCCUAAAUUUGAUAACAUUUUUCUUUGUUUUUUGGAUUAAGUGUCAUCCCCAAACUCUUUAUGCAAAGUUUUUCAGAAAAUAUGUAUUUGGAAUGGGAUAUAUGCCAAACAUGGUAAGUUUCUUUACAAAAUAGUGAAAUUGUAAAAUAUAUAUACCCCAUUUAAAAUGAAGAAGCAUGCCAAUCAAAGUUGUUUUUAAUAACAAUGUCAUUUAAAUUAACUGUUUUCCAUUUAUUUUUUAACAACUUCAUUUUUUGAUGAUUUUGAUAGCAAGACUAUGCAUAAAGGUCCAGAUAAGAUGAAAAAGUUGAGUGCUUCAGAACGAAGGUUAGUAUUAUGGAAAUGGACAAUUUUUAAAUUCCACAAUGCUUCAUUUUUAUUUUAUGAAAAUAGAUUGUUUUAAACUACAGAUCUUGAUUUUAUCAAAGUUUUCGAACGUUAUUCCCUACUUUGAUGGUCUUUAGACUAAAUUUGUGUUUAUUUCUCAAGUUAUGUACCUUAACUAUAAAAUAUAUAAGAAAAUAAUGAUAUUUGGAUUGGUUAGAUAAUCUUGAUUAUCAGCUUAUUCGUGUUGAGUUGAACCCACUUGAUUAAGCAAGUUAAUUGUUGGGGAAUCAUCCACUAAAGUUGGUCACUGUUGUUGUAAGAUGUCAAUGAAAUCACUUUUAUUUGACUUUA